GUCCGGUUAUCAUGAUUUGGUGUUCGGAUAUGGACAAAUUUCGGACAUUACGUACGGAAGAAAGGCUGCUCUGUCUGCUGUAUAAUUUGUGUUUUUACUUUUCAUGUAAAUGAAAACACUACCGUUGUGUAGGUCUUGACAUUGAGGUCUUCGGUGAAAGGAAAUUUCCUUUGCUGCUUAUUGAGAGGCGACAAGGACUGAGGCGGGGUUGACGUUUGUGUGCCAUCCAUGUCUUCAGCCACCCAUCACGAAUAAACAUCCCGACAUACCAACAUUAGAACGGACGAUGCCAGUGGAAGAAAACCAAACCAUGAUGUCCUCUCUACAGCCCAAUGUUUUACCACACGAUUCAGCGUAUAUACAACAGACACAUUGAGCGAAAAUGACACCACCGCACUGCAGAUGAGCGUAGUUGAUUUGAAUACAACCAGAGAUCAGUUUCAGCUUUCAGACAUCAGCGACAACGUGCUACCAGUGUUGAAUUCUACAGCAAGUCACAUCUGCCGAGCCAUCGGUAAGCUGGCAGAGACGGCGACAACUGAAUCAACCGUUCACUUGCAGCCUAUAUGGACAGACAGUGGAUGAUGAAUGCCGUCUUUGCAGUUGAGGAAUGGUCCGUUUUCAGACAGAACAUCGGUCCCCGGAAACAGAUGUCAAGAGGAUGGAUGCAACUAGAGCAUUUAAAGGCUCAGCCACAUUCCUAGAGUUAUUGGUGCAAUAUAUUGUACCUUGGUCCCAAUCACCACCCAGACCGGCAAUGAGGCAUCCUAUUUCUGAAGGAAGGAGUAUCACGCCAUUCAAGCAGUUUUGAACAAUAAGUUGAGAUUCAUUGACGUUGUGGCGGAAUGGCAUGGAGCCACAAACGAUGCUGUCAUAUACUAGUAUCAGAUAUCUUGUUUAAAGGCUCAUCUGGAGGCAAAUGAAGCUGGGGUGUACCUGCAAAACUCAAGGCUCUGCCUUUAUAAAUAACUUACUGACAUCCAUCCUCAGACCGCUGAAAUUGCAUACUAUGAUGCCGAUGCCAUGGGUGGUUUGGUAAUGGAUGGGGCUUUUGGCCUGCUUCUGUCACGCUUUCGAAAGAUAUCUGCACAGAAGCGGAGGCUGGCUGAUGUUUUCACCAGGUUAAUUGCAGUAGAUUGUCAUCACCUGCAUGAAACUACACAAUUUGUGCAUUGACAAUAGUCUAGAUUUCAAGGGCUGAAAAUGACAAUAACACUCAACAACUGGUGCAAGUUGGCCACGCGCAUCAUCAUACUUGUCGAUGUUAACCUUAUUGAUAAAUUACUUAAUGUAACACUCUUAAUCAAAAUUAAUACAUACACAUGUAUAACAAACAUCCAUUAUGACUGCUAAACCUUUAACUACUUACUUAAUUAUGCAUUUGUGGAAAAUAUGAAUUACUGAUAACAAGAUUGAAACCGUGUAUUUGAUAGCAGAAAGCACAAAGAUAUUAAAUGAUUGGUGAAUGCUUAAAGAUUUACUGUGGUUUACUAUAGUUUCAUUAUGUAGAAAUACCAUGUUUUCUUUGAAAUUAAACUCGGUAACAUAAGA